GAUGAACGCUGGCGGCGUGCCUAAUACAUGCAAGUCGAGCGAACAGACGAGGAGCUUGCUCCUCUGACGUUAGCGGCGGACGGGUGAGUAACACGUGGAUAACCUACCUAUAAGACUGGGAUAACUUCGGGAAACCGGAGCUAAUACCGGAUAAUAUAUUGAACCGCAUGGUUCAAUAGUGAAAGACGGUUUUGCUGUCACUUAUAGAUGGAUCCGCGCCGCAUUAGCUAGUUGGUAAGGUAACGGCUUACCAAGGCGACGAUGCGUAGCCGACCUGAGAGGGUGAUCGGCCACACUGGAACUGAGACACGGUCCAGACUCCUACGGGAGGCAGCAGUAGGGAAUCUUCCGCAAUGGGCGAAAGCCUGACGGAGCAACGCCGCGUGAGUGAUGAAGGUCUUCGGAUCCUAAAACUCUGUUAUUAGGGAAGAAAAAAUGUGUAAGUAACUAUGCACGUCUUGACGGUACCUAAUCAGAAAGCCACGGCUAACUACGUG
rnacentral:rRNA from 1 species